CAAUCAAGAUGUAUUUGCUCAUGACCUAAAGUACGUGUACAAGACUGAAAAGCACAUGCACGCAAUGAAUGCAUACCAACGCAGUCUUGCAGGUGUUCACGUGGUUUUGCACAUGUGCCAGGUGAAAUUUCAAUUGCACCACUGACACUCUAAAAACUCGGGUAAAUAAUACUUUCCUGUGGAUAUUUUGUUUCAAAUGUUGCCCAGCUGAAAUACCAACCGGUACAUUCAAAUGAAAUGUUAUUCAACAUUCUGGCAGAGUUUUGUUUGACUUUAACAAUAAUUUGUAUCAUAGUCUGUCUGAUUAGGCAACCUCCCCCUAUCUGUCAGUCAGUUGCAGACGCGCUGCCUCCCCCUCAUGUUGCCGACUGACUGGAAAUAGAAACAUAAAUAUACACACCGAUAACUAACAACUUAACGCAGCCGGUCACUGAGGGGCAUGAGAGCCUUGUUGGAGGCCAGCGCUUUUGCUUGCCGGACCCAGUGCUGGUGACGGGGACAUGGGCCUCUUCCUCAGGGCUUCCAGCACGACCCAGCUCCACACAAGCCAGAGCCUCAGCCACCAACUGGUCCAGCACCACCCAGACACCAACGGCAGCAGCACGCAGAGGGACCCCGCCUCAGUGGGUCUCGCCCUUCUCUUCGGCGCUACCACUGACCUGCAGGCCAAGCACCGCAGCCGGUCUCGAGCUCUUGGUAGACGAAGCUCCAAGUAGCCUUCUCUAAUGAGGAUGUCUGAUACUGUCACUGUAAAGGAGACUAGCGCCACUAUGAGAGGUGUGGAGACGGAGGAGAGCCACCAUGCCAGUGCCACACCGACACCAGCGGGGGGAGAAGAACCAAGCCCGACCAAGACAAACGGCAGGGAGCAGGCAGAGACCCCGCCACAGGCCAAAGCUCAAACCCAGCUCCAACCCGAGAUUCAACCAGAGAGCUGCUGCCAAGACAAGAACGAAACUCUGCGGCAAACACCGGGACAGAUGGGAAAAAGGCCCAAGUCUAACUCAAAGUUAAAGUUAGUUCGGAGCCUGGCUGUUUGCGAAGAGUCCUCUCCUCCUCCCCCUAUUACCACUGAUCUGCCUCGAGAACACAAGGAUGAAGUUGAGAUCCAGGUCUCCCAGUCAUUUGACAAAGAGGAGGUGCCACCCAUCAAGGAUGAGGAGGACAAAGGUGUGGAGAAGCUGCUAGAGAAGACUGAGAGGAUGCCCAGGAAGAUGCUGUCCAGAGAUUCCAGUCAGGAGUACACAGAUUCUACCGGGAUCGAUAUCCAUGAAUUCUUAGUAAACACAUUGAAAAACAACCCCAGGGACAGAAUGAUGCUGCUGAAGUUGGAACAGGACAUUCUCGACUUUAUCAGUAAUAACGAAAGCCAGAAGAGAAAGUUCCCUCCAAUGACCUCCUACCACAGAAUGCUGCUGCACCGCGUCGCCGCCUACUUCGGCCUAGACCACAACGUCGACCAAACCGGGAAAUCUGUAAUCAUCAACAAAACUAGCAAUACAAGAAUCCCUGAUCAAAAGUUUUCAGAACACAUCAAAGACGACAAAACUGACGACUUCCAAAAGCGCUACAUUCUCAAAAGGGACAACUCCGGCUCAGACAAAGAUGACAACAUGAUGCGAAUGCGGCUGAAGGACGACCGGAGGAGUAAGUCUAUAGAGGAACGAGAGGAGGAGUACCAGAGGGCCAGAGACAGGAUAUUUGCUCAAGAUAGCUUAUUUUAUUCCAGGGAGGAUGAUGCUUGUAACAGUACACAGCAAAGGCGGCAAAUGUUUAGGUUAAAAGAUGGCCACCCGGCCAACAGUCGCCAGAGCAGCUCUGAGAACGAACCCAAGUACUCUGACCCUCGGCCGUGGAGCAGCACAGACUCUGACAGCUCCAACCGUAACCUGAGGCCAGCCAUGACCAAGGCCAGCAGCUUCAGCGGCAUCUCUGUCCUCAUCAGGGGAGACAGUUCGGGCAGCAGCAAGAGCAUGGGUCGCCUCUCUAAGACUGGUUCACUAGAGUCUUCUAGUAGUGUAGGGUCCUCCACGGGUUCGCUCUCUCGCUCCCAGCUGCCCCUCACCGUCCCAGCUCUAACCCAGGCUGGCCACCCUCACAACCACGCCGUGCCCCCCUGCCCAGUGGCUUACCCAGCCACCUGCACUAGUAGUACUGUGACUUAUGAGGCGGGAGGCAGGAGCGGCCCGGUGCCGCCACCACCAGCAAAUACAGCUAACACUAGCUACUAUUUGCUUCCCCUGGAAGCCAUAGGGAUACCGCCAGGGAGUAUCCUGGUCAACCCACACACAGGCCAGCCCUUUGUGAACCCGGAUGGCAGUGCUGUGGUAUACAACCCCAACCACAGCAUGGCUCCUCAGCAUCAACAUCAUCAGCAUCAUAAUCAGCAGGGCAGGACCCAGCAGCCCAUGCUCCCUCCUCCACACCCUCCUGGCCGCCACCAACACCAGCCCACCAAUCACAACCACCAAAACAACCUGGGAGCCCAGUUCAGCCACAUGAGCUUGGCCCGGCAGGUCUCUGGAGAGGGCCCAGGUCGGGACACCCACAUUGCCAUGUACCCCUCCUCCGUCGUGCUUCAGACCCCCCCUCAGCAGCAGGGCUACAUGGUGGCCCCUCCAGUCCAGCACGUCCCGGCACCCCAGGCCUACAACAACCCCGCCCCUCCACCUGUCAACCAGCCGGUCAUGCAGCAACAGGGCUACAUGCAGCAGCAGAUGCCAGCAUGUUACUGUGCGCCAGGCCAGUACCCCCUGUCCAACCAGCAGUACAGGCCUGUGGGCACAGUGCAGUUCAGCGCCCCACAGAGUCAGCCAAUGCCCCCGCCCACACAACAGACAGGUUACCAAACUGUGAUGCCAAAUCAGCCACAGAGCUAUCAGAGUAUGAUUGGAGUGCCACAUAGUCAGAACACUGUCAGUGGCCUGCAUAGCAAUAUGGGAAAUCAGAUGCAAGGCAUGAUGGUCCAGUAUCCCUCCAUGCCAUCUUAUCAGGUAUCCAUGCAGCCCCAAGGCUCACAGGGUGUGCCACAGCAGACAUAUCAGCAGCCUAUCAUCAACCACAACCAGUCCAACCAGGGGCCCAUGCCUGGUUCUGGUGUCCAGAUCUACUACAGUGUUAUCACACCCAAUCAACAGAACACCAUGAGCUCCUCUGUUGGGUUCUUGCCUCCUCCUGGAUCAGAGCAGAUGCAGUUCCCUCGGCCGUCCUCCCCCUGCAGCUCCCAGCAGCCCCUCCAUCAGGCACAGCAGUGCUCAGGUGUUCCCCCUCCCCCAGGCGGUGGGAUGGUGAUGAUGCAGCUGACGUUGCCCCCCGGCCAGCAACCACGGCCUCACUCGCCCCCCCAGUGGAAACACAGCAAGUACUACAGUCUGGACCACACGAGACGACAAAAGUCCACAGAGCUCUCCACCCUAGACACCUCACAGAGCAUUCCCCAGCUGGGCAGUCCCUCAACUUCCCCCGCCCAGUCGCCAACUCCCUCCCACCCACACCACCUAACCAAUGUGAAGAGCAUCCGUCCAGGCCUCGCCCCCGUACCCAUGAUGCCCCAGUUCUCCAGACCCUUUAUGCCAGGGCAAGGAGAUGCGCGGUACCCGUUACUAGGGCAGCCCCUCCAGUACAACCCCCAGAUCCGUCCUCCUCUCCACGCUCCACCCAUGGUCCCCAACCAUCAGUUUUUCUCUUGCUCCCCCCCUCUCGCUGCUCUGUCUCUCGCUGCUCUGUCUGUGACAGUGAGUGGGCAAGUCCUGGAGGUGACUGACCUGCCGGGAGAGAUCAGCAGGACCGAGGCGGACUCUCUGCUAGGUGAGCUCUCCAGAGCCCGGCCCCUGCUGACCCAGCCUUCACUCACUGUGAGCAGGGGCCACAGACACCCCCUGGAGAGGGCCAGCUCCCAGUAG
ensembl:lncRNA